rnacentral:sRNA from 1 species
CAAGCCACCAAGCAGGCAAGGGAGCACCAUAAUGUAUUGAAUGUAUCUAAGAAGAGAAAUUUGCUAAUAGAGCCGGAAUUACUACCCCACUAAUACUGCGACUACUGCAGAUGCAAGGACACUGCUAACUGCCAACAUGUUGCCACAAAAAUCAGGUUUGUCAUCCAUGUCAGGGGAACAAAAGCCAGUGUCAUUCAAUCAUCAUCAUCUUGGGAGGAACAGCGACAGGCACAACGAAAAAGGGUUCUGACAGCCCAAAGAAUGAAACGAACGAAACGAUGAUAACAGUGACAACAACAACAACAAAAACAUAGGAAAAUAAUAAAAGGAUUUAAACGGUCA